rnacentral:SRP_RNA from 1 species
GGGAAGACUAGGCUGGGAGGUUAGCGCUCUCCUGUUACCGUAAACACGCUUUAGACGGAGCUGAAAUCAGAGGAACGGCAUAUAUUUUGGCUAUUGGUCUUGAGCUGGACAAUGAGACUCUGUCCUUCGGGAUUGGUGUCUUAGUGAAAGAGGUCAGAUCAGGAAUGAAAUAAGCCAAAAGCUUACAUUAGGCAGCCUUAAGCUUUGAUAUCGGUGCUCAAAGGGUAGCGGAGUUAAGAAAAGUUCAAGGUAACUGAUGGUCAAUUUUUAUGUCAAUUCUCUGGUGCGUCUUCCC